rnacentral:rRNA from 1 species
GACGAACGCUGGCGGCGUGCUUAACACAUGCAAGUCGAACGGAAAGGCCCUGCUUGCAGGGUACUCGAGUGGCGAACGGGUGAGUAACACGUGGGUGAUCUGCCCUGCACUUCGGGAUAAGCCUGGGAAACUGGGUCUAAUACCGGAUAGGAGCCAUUUUUAGUGUGAUGGUUGGAAAGUUUUUUCGGUGUAGGAUGAGCUCGCGGCCUAUCAGCUUGUUGGUGGGGUAAUGGCCUACCAAGGCGGCGACGGGUAGCCGGCCUGAGAGGGUGGACGGCCACAUUGGGACUGAGAUACGGCCCAGACUCCUACGGGAGGCAGCAGGGGGGAAGAUUGCACAAUGGGCGCAAGCCUGAUGCAGCGACGCCGCGUGGGGGAUGACGGCCUUCGGGUUGUAAACUCCUUUCGCUAGGGACGAAGCUUUUUGUGACGGUACCUAGAUAAGAAGCACCGGCUAACUACGUG